GCCAGGUUGGUGCAGUGGUUUAGCACGUUGAAGAUUCUGCCAAAGGCCAAUUCACCAAAAGGUGAAGGCCUUGGGUUCGAUUCCCUGUGGAUGCU